rnacentral:rRNA from 1 species
UGACACUGCUCAUAACCGUAUCGCUGGGCUGCACGCCUAACACAUGCAAGUCGAACGAAGUAGCAAUACUGAGUGGCGAACGGGUGAGUAUAAUGUGGGUAUCUGCCUUUUGGUUUGGAAUAACACGAGGAAACUUGUGCUAAUACUGGAUAAGCCUUUACAGGGAAAGUUUUAACGCCAAAAGAUGAGCCCGCACUUGAUUAGCUAGUUGGUAAGGUAAUGGCUUACCAAGGCUACGAUCAAUAGCUGAUCUGAGAGGAUGAUCAGCCACAUUGGGACUGAGACACGGCCCAAACUCCUACGGGAGGCAGCAGUGGGGAAUCUUGCACAAUGGGGGAAACCCUGAUGCAGCGAUGCCGCGUGAGUGAAGAAGGCCUUUGGGUUGUAAAGCUCUUUCGUCGGGGAAGAAAAUGACUGUACCCGAAUAAGAAGGUCCGGCUAACUUCGUGCCAGCAGCCGCGGUAAUACGAAGGGACCUAGCGUAGUUCGGAAUUACUGGGCUUAAAGAGCUCGUAGGUGGUUAGAAAAGUUGGUGGUGAAAUCCCAAGGCUUAACCUUGGAACUGCCACCAAAACUUUUUAACUUGAGUAUGAUAGAGGAAAGUGGAAUUUCUAGUGUAGAGGUGAAAUUCGUAGAUAUUAGAAAGAACACCAAUUGCGAAGGCAACUUUCUGGAUCAUUACUGACACUGAGGAGCGAAAGCAUGGGUAGCGAAGAGGAUUAGAUACCCUCGUAGUCCAUGCUGUAAACGAUGUGUGCUAGACGUUGGAAAUUUAUUUUUCAGUGUCGCAGCAAAAGCGUUAAGCACACCGCCUGGGGAGUACGACCGCAA